CAAUAGCGUAUAUUAAAGCUGUGGCGGUUAAAAAGCUCGUAGUUGGAUUUCUGUCAAGGACAACUGGUCCGCCCUCCGGGUGAGCACAUAGUUUGGUCUUGACAUCUUGCUGGAAGCUGUUGCUGCACUUGGCUGUGUGGCGCAGUGUUCAGCACUUUCACUUUGAGGAAAUUGGAGUGUUUCAAGCAGGCACAUGCCUUUGGACACAGUAGCAUGGAAUAAUUAGAUUGGGCUUUUGCUCCAAUUUGUCGGUUUCUGGAGCUGAGGUGAGUAUUAAUGGGGAUUGUUGGGGGCAUCCGAAUUUAGCCGUCAGAGGUGAAAUUCUUGGAUCUGCUAAAGACGGACAACUGCGAAAGCGUUUGCCCAGGAUGUUUUCAUUGA
rnacentral:rRNA from 1 species